rnacentral:lncRNA from 1 species
UCUGCCAGGGAGCGUCCUGUGAUGGAGGGGCUGCACUGCCACUUUACUGAUGAGGAAAUUAAGGUUCAGAGAGAUGAGGUCAUUUCUUAGAGGCCAGACAGCCUCCUCAGCCCAUUUAUAAGGUUGUUUCUGUGGUAUUUGCCAUAAAGCCAUAGGUUCAUUGAUUUGUUCUUAAGUAGUUCUGAGCCCUUCCUGCAUAUCAGGCAGGGACAAACAGGAAAGUCCCUGCCUUUGGCAAGUGCGGGGGAAAUGAAAUGAUUCUGCUUAGCCGCAUCCAUUGGUCUGAACAAUCACGUCUCAUGACCGCAGGGACGCGGCUUCCCCUGAAUGCGGAUCCUAGAGGCCAGGCAGAAGCAGCAUGGGUUUCCACUCACACGAUCUAUCUACUGCUCAUGAAAUCUCUGGAUUUAACUCUGAUGAAAGACUGGAGGCUGAAGGAGAACUUCAAUAUCAUAUAUUUUAAAGGUUGACUCACAGUUUGGAGCAAGAAUUAAAGAACCACGAACUUCAAGGUAAAACGGGCAACGGCGUUGGGGCAAGCCUCUCUGCACCUGCGUGUCCAGCCUCUCCUGCAUGCCAGAAGUCCCCAGGCAGGAGUGUGGUGGGACAUCCGGCUGGGGUGAUGUAAAAUUCUCAAACAAUGAGAUAGAUAAAAAGUACGCAGCCAAAAAGUUCAAGAAGAAGUGUUAUGGAGAUGGAGCAGGCCCUUCGUAAAAACACGAUGUUGGUUUUCUGGAUUUUGUAUGUUUGCUUUUUUUUUUUCCUCAUCCUAAAGAAAUAUUCACUGUCAUACCUAA